CCUACGGGCGGCUGCAGUGGGGAAUAUUGCACAAUGGGCGCAAGCCUGAUGCAGCCAUGCCGCGUGUGUGAAGAAGGCCUUCGGGUUGUAAAGCACUUUCAGCGGGGAGGAAGGCGGUGAGGUUAAUAACCUCAUCGAUUGACGUUACCCGCAGAAGAAGCACCGGCUAACUCCGUGCCAGCAGCCGCGGUAAUACGGAGGGUGCAAGCGUUAAUCGGAAUUACUGGGCGUAAAGCGCACGCAGGCGGUCUGUCAAGUCGGAUGGGAAAUCCCCGGGCUCAACCUGGGAACUGCAUUCGAAACUGGCAAGCGAGAGUCUUGUAGAGGGGGGUAGAAUUCCAGGUGUAGCGGUGAAAUGCGUAGAGAUCUGGAGGAAUACCGGUGGCGAAGGCGGCCCCCUGGACAAAGACUGACGCUCAGGUGCGAAAGCGUGGGGAGCAAACAGGAUUAGAUACCCCAGUAGUC
rnacentral:rRNA from 1 species